rnacentral:rRNA from 1 species
AUGGCCCCUCCGACCAGCGCUAGACCAACGAGAUGGCUCGCCCCGCCAUCAGGUGACGCGAAGUUCAACGUCGAUGCGGCGGUAACCAAUUAUGAUGGGGCAGUCGGGGUCAUUUGCAAAGAUGACAGAGAUAUAUUUAUGGGAGCGUCGACUCUUUCUUUUAGAUAUAUUGUGGAUCCCCCGACUUUGGAAUCCCUAGCCAACAGAGAAGCGCUCGCAUUGGCAGAUGAUCUCUAUUUGAGGCGCAUCCAAGUUGCUUCGGACUGCAAAACGGUGGUGCAGGACAUACAUAAGGGGAAUUUGGCAAGCUAUGGAGCAGUUAUUCAUGAAAUAGUUGAACAUUCUUUAGCUUUUGAUUUUUUUAAUUUCAGUCAUGAGUUUAGGAGCUCAAAUUUUGAAGCUCACAACUUAGCGAAGCAUGCUUCAUCUCUCGGUGGUGGCCGCCAUGUUUGGUUAGGACAUCCCAGAAAUUUACCAUCCGUCCUUGUAAACAUUAUGACGAAUUAA